UCGAGAAUCUUCCGCAAUGGACGCAAGUCUGACGGAGCGACGCCGCGUGCGGGAUUAAGGCCUUCGGGUUGUAAACCGCUGUCAGUAGGGAGCAAAUGCAUAAGGGUUCUCUCUUAUGUUUGAGCUAUCUGCAGAGGAAGUACGGGCUAAGUUCGUGCCAGCAGCCGCGGUAACACGAACCGUACGAACGUUAUUCGGAAUCACUGGGCUUAAAGAGUCCGUAGGCGGCUUGGUAGGUGAGGUGUGAAAUCCCACAGCCCAACUGUGGAACUGCGCUUCAAACCACUAGGCUUGAGGAAGUCAGGGGUGAGCGGAACAAAUGGUGGAGCGGUGAAAUGCGUUGAUAUCAUUUGGAACACCGGUGGCGAAGGCGGCUCACUGGGACUUUUCUGACGCUGAGGGACGAAAGCUAGGGGAGCGAACGGGAUUAGAUACCCCCGUAGUCC
rnacentral:rRNA from 1 species